GAGAGCCUUAUAUCCAAAACAGUUUUCGGUUUGAGGCUGCCUGACUUUUCUGUCCGACCCACAGAACAUACAGACAGCACCAACGCAGAUGCUGGUCCUUCCUUUACCAGACUCCCGUGGACCUGCAACGGUCGUUGUCGCUUUGGAGGAAUCGUCUUCAAGCUAAGGCCUGCCUGUGUUUGGUGAGCUCUGUCCCUGGAGAGUCUCUGCCUAGCAGGAGAAGGGGCCAGGAGUCUCCGGAACCUUAAAGAAAACCAUCAGCCCAGAAGACAAGCAUUUUCUGUGACUUGUGAGUACUGGAGGUGAGGAAGACUUGAGCCACAGACCAAAAGAAAGGUCCCCUGCUUCAGUCAUCAUCUUCCUAGCUGAAGAGAAGAGCCUUGCCCCUGGGACCCAAGAGAGAGCCUUGAGGGGACCACCAGCAUUUGGCUGGCUGACCUCCCACGGAAAGCUGACUUCCUGUGGGAAACACAUCAGUGUCACUCCUUCACCUCACCCUGGCAGGCCCUCUCUUCUCUUGGGUCUGGAGAGGGAGUGCUUGCAUAUCGAAGGGACCAUGGAGCCCACUCUGUGGCCAAGAAGCAUCCCUGAGUCCUUUCCACCAUACAGCCCAGAACCAGCUCCUCUCUCCUGUCCUGGUGGACACCAGGCACAGAGGA
rnacentral:lncRNA from 1 species